GGGCAGCAUGGCGCAGCUGAUGCAGCCAUGCCGCGUGAGUGAGAAGGCCUUCGGGUUGUAAAGCUCUUUUGCAGGGAGGAAAGUGCCGGUAUUAAUACCCUAAGCAAUUGACGUUACCUAGCCAACAAGCACCGGCUAACUCCGUGCCAGCAGCCGCGGUAAUAA
rnacentral:rRNA from 1 species